rnacentral:lncRNA from 1 species
CUAUACUUCUUCAAACUCGGAUGUUCAUUAAGUGCAGCCUUCACACAUUAGGGGAGAUUAUAGAAGUACCUGGAAUUUGUGCAAAAGAACAACACUAUGGGUCAGCAGAGCUUAUUCAGCAUAACAGUCACAAAAUCCACAGCUCAUGAUUAAUUGAUACACCCAGUAAUACUUGCAUCUAUCCCAUGAAAUUUUAAACCCAAGUUCAGACCAGUAGAAACAAAACAAAUGGCUUCAAUGAACCUCAAACAACUAGAGAGGAGCCCAGGAAGGUUUUGGCACCACAUAAAAUCAGCAAUUUGAUUUAAAAUAUCUAAAACAAUGACCUAAUCAACUCAAAUGGAAUCCAAAGCCAAUGCUGGAAACUCAGCUCUUAAAAUGUGUAUUUUCUAUUUUCAUCUUUCUAUGGCUAAACUUCUACUGCACAGCCGGAAUUAGAAUCAUUUUCAGGUCGUUCUAAUAGGAUAGUCAAAAAACCCACUGAACUUCAGGGAAUUUGGCAACUCCCAGAAAACUCAAGAUUUCUGGACAUUUUUAGGAAUUUUUGGAGACUGUUGGGUUUGAAAUAUCUGGAAUUUUC